rnacentral:rRNA from 1 species
GACGAACGCUGGCGGUGUGCUUAACACAUGCAAGUGGUGCGACGAACCAGAGCUUGCUCUGGGGCAAAGCCGCGAACGGGUGAGUAACACGUGGGUAAUCUACCCCGAUGACCGGGACAACCCGAGGAAACUCGGGCUAAUACCGGAUGUGGUGCGGAGACAUAAGUCUCUUCACUAAAGGUAGCUUCGGCUUCCGUAUUGGGAGGGGCCCGCGGCCCAUUAGCUUGUUGGUGGGGUCAAGGCCUACCAAGGCAACGAUGGGUAGCUGGUCUGAGAGGACGAUCAGCCACACUGGGACUGAGACACGGCCCAGACUCCUACGGGAGGCAGCAGUGGGGAAUCUUGCGCAAUGCGCGAAAGCGUGACGCAGCAACACCGCGUGAGGGAAGAAGGCCUUAGGGUUGUAAACCUCUUUCAGAUGGGACGAAGGUUCUCCGGUGAAUAGCCGAGAGGAUUGACGGUACCGUCAGAAGAAGCUCCGGCUAACUACGUG